CACCGCGGUUAUACGGGAGGCUCAAGUUGACAGAACCACGGCGUAAAGGGUGGUUAAGGAGGAAUAUACACUAAAGUCGAAAGAAUUCAGAGUUGUGAUAAGCCCACGAAGACAUGAAGAACACCCACGAAAGUGACUUUAAUACCCCUGACUCCACGAAAGCUGGGACA
rnacentral:rRNA from 2 species